GUUUAGAAUUAGCAACUUGUUGGAAGGUGGUAUUAUUUCUGAGCAAGAAGAAUUUUCCAGUGGGCAAGUGGUGUGGUGGAAGCAACACAAGGAUGGUAGCAAGAGAAGCAGCUUGAUCAGCAGUAUACUUACAUCCAAAGAACCGAGUCUUGAGCUAACAUUGAGAAUACGUGUGAUGGAAGAAUUAGAAGAGGAGGAGCAACGAAAGAGGGGAAGAAGUGCCUCUAUAAGCAACUUGGGACCAUAGAAAUUUGUUUUCAUGACGUUUUCAGCAUGGUCCACUGAAUUCUCGUCGAGCUCAUUGAAUGAUACAGCCGCAUUGUUCACCUGAUCACAUACAAAAUUAAUUAGAUCAUUUCAUUUAUUUUCCUAUAGAAGAAGUUUUUACAAAAAACAUAUUUAUGUCAAUAAAAAAUUACAACUAGGUCCAUGUCUAGUCUAGGUCUUUGGUCUAAAGUGUGUAUUUAUAUCUUAUUGUAUCUUAUAAUUUUGUUUAAGACAAUGAAUAAUAUUGUUAUAGAA